rnacentral:rRNA from 1 species
AUGGGGCAAACCACAGUUAAUCCUAUUUGGAGUAAGAUAUGGAAAUUAGCAUGUCCAGCAAAAGUUAAAAUAUUCUUAUGGCGUACGCUGCAUGGUACUAUCCCGUGCGGAGUUACGCUAGCUAAUAGACAUAUAAAGGUUUCACCCAUCUGUCCAAUUUGCUCUGAGGGCUUAGAAGAUACAAAACAUAUGUUGUUCCGGUGUACUAAAGCAAAGGAGGUUUGGAAAAGACUGGGACUGGAUGAUAUCAUUGAAAAAGCUUGCGAGAUUGAUCGUGCAGGAGAGGCGGUGCUGUAGUACCUACUACUCCUACCAGAUCAAGAUUUGUGGAUAUUGGGUUGCCACAAUGUGCGUGAGAUGAUUGCUAUCUCAGCAUGGUACCUAUGGUGGGAAAGACGAAAGUUGGUUCACAAUGAGAAAAUACAAAAUGUAAAGCAUAUUUCAAUGGGAAUCCUUGCCUUUACCACAAAUUUUGUUAAUGCAUUAUCCCCCAAGGCGUCUGUGAAGAAGGAGAGUUGGUCAUGCCCUUCAAGAGGUUCUGUUAAACUCAACGUUGAUGCUUCCUUUGAGCACGACCUUCUUAGGGGGACAAUGGGAGCAGUGCUUAGAGAUGACAGAGGCAGGUUUAUUGCUGGAGGGAAUGAGAGAAUAGAUAUUUGCGCGGAUGUGCUGAUGACGGAGGCUAUAGCUCUCAAAUUUGGUCUAACAUUGGUGCAAAGGGCGGGAUGCAAUCGCAUUAUCAUAAAAUUCGGAUAA